rnacentral:rRNA from 1 species
UACGUAGGGCGCAAGCGUUGUCCGGAAUUAUUGGGCGUAAAGAGCUCGUAGGCGGCCUGUUGCGUCCGCUGUGAAAUCCCGGGGCUUAACCCCGGGCUUGCAGUGGAUACGGGCAGGCUGGAGGCAGGCAGGGGAGAACGGAAUUCCCGGUGUAGCGGUGAAAUGCGUAGAUAUCAUAAGGAACACCGGUGGCGAAGGCGGUUACCUGGAAGAUUCCUGACUCUGAAACACGAAAGCCAGGGGAGCAAACGGG